AACGAACGCUGGCGGCAGGCCUAACACAUGCAAGUCGAGCGCUCACCUUCGGGUGGGAGCGGCGCACGGGUGAGUAACACGUGGGAACCUACCUUGAAGUACGGAAUAACUGAGGGAAACUUCAGCUAAUACCGUAUACGCCCUACGGGGGAAAGAUUUAUCGCUUCAAGACGGGCCCGCGUUGGAUUAGCUAGUUGGUGAGGUAAUGGCUCACCAAGGCAACGAUCCAUAGCUGAUUUGAGAGAAUGAUCAGCCACACUGGGACUGAGACACGGCCCAGACUCCUACGGGAGGCAGCAGUGGGGAAUAUUGGACAAUGGGCGCAAGCCUGAUCCAGCCAUGCCGCGUGAGUGAUGAAGGCCUUCGGGUUGUAAAGCUCUUUCAGAUGGGACGAUGAUGACGGUACCAUCAGAAGAAGCCCCGGCUAACUUCGUGCCAGCCGCCGCCGUAA
rnacentral:rRNA from 1 species